rnacentral:rRNA from 1 species
AUUGAACGCUGGCGGCAGGCCUAACACAUGCAAGUCGAGCGGAUGAAGGGAGCUUGCUCCUGGAUUCAGCGGCGGACGGGUGAGUAAUGCCUAGGAAUCUGCCUGGUAGUGGGGGAUAACGUCCGGAAACGGGCGCUAAUACCGCAUACGUCCUGAGGGAGAAAGGGGGGGAUCUUCGGACCUCACGCUAUCAGAUGAGCCUAGGUCGGAUUAGCUAGUUGGUGGGGUAAAGGCCUACCAAGGCGACGAUCCGUAACUGGUCUGAGAGGAUGAUCAGUCACACUGGAACUGAGACACGGUCCAGACUCCUACGGGAGGCAGCAGUGGGGAAUAUUGGACAAUGGGCGCAAGCCUGAUCCAGCCAUGCCGCGUGUGUGAAGAAGGUCUUCGGAUUGUAAAGCACUUUAAGUUGGGAGGAAGGGCAGUAAGUUAAUACCUUGCUGUUUUGACGUUACCCACAGAAUAAGCACCGGCUAACUUCGUG